rnacentral:rRNA from 1 species
UCGGGAAUUUUGGGCAAUGGGGGAAACCCUGACCCAGCAACGCCGCGUGAAGGAUGAAGUAUUUCGGUAUGUAAACUUCGAAAGAAUAGGAAGAAUAAAUGACGGUACUAUUUAUAAGGUCCGGCUAACUACGUGCCAGCAGCCGCGGUAAUACGUAGGGACCAAGCGUUGUUCGGAUUUACUGGGCGUAAAGGGCGCGUAGGCGGCAUGACAAGUCACUUGUGAAAUCUCUGGGCUUAACCCAGAACGGCCAAGUGAUACUGUCGCGCUAGAGUGCAGAAGGGGCAAUCGGAAUUCUUGGUGUAGCGGUGAAAUGCGUAGAUAUCAAGAGGAACACCUGAGGUGAAGACGGGUUGCUGGGCUGACACUGACGCUGAGGCGCGAAAGCCAGGGGAGCAAACGGGAUUAGAUACCCUGGUAGUCCCUGAGCGGGCUGGCAAGGCGCAU